AGUGAACGCUGGCGGUAGGCCUAACACAUGCAAGUCGAACGGCAGCACAGUAAGAGCUUGCUCUUACGGGUGGCGAGUGGCGGACGGGUGAGGAAUACAUCGGAAUCUACUUUUUCGUGGGGGAUAACGUAGGGAAACUUACGCUCAUACCGCAUACGACCUACGGGUGAAAGCAGGGGAUCUUCGGACCUUGCGCGAUUGAAUGAGCCGAUGUCGGAUUAGCUAGUUGGCGGGGUAAAGGCCCACCAAGGCGACGAUCCGUAGCUGGUCUGAGAGGCUGAUCAGCCACCCUGGAACGGAGACACGGUCAAGACGCCUACGGGAGGCAGCAGUGGGGAAUAUUGGACAAUGGGCGCAAGCCUGAUCCAGCCAUACCGCGUGGGUGAAGAAGGCCUUCGGGUUGUAAAGCCCUUUUGUUGGGAAAGAAAAGCAGCAGGUUAAUACCCCGCUGUUCUGACGGUACCCAAAGAAGAAGCACCGGCUAACUUCGUG
rnacentral:rRNA from 1 species